rnacentral:rRNA from 1 species
GAAAGAUGAAAAGAACUUUGAAAAGAGAGUUAAACAGUACGUGAAAUUGUUGAAAGGGAAACGAUUGAAGCCAGUCGUACCUUCGGGUAAUCAGCCUUUCGGGUGCGAUUCUGUGGAGUGUGAGGAGCUUAAACACCUUCAUGUUUUGCAUAUUCGUACUCUUGGGUGUACUUGCCCGUGUGGUUAGUUAACAUCAAUUUUGGUUGUCAUAAAAUGACUGGAGGAAUGUAGCUUCGAUCUCGUAUUGAAGUGUUAUA